rnacentral:rRNA from 1 species
AUUGAACGCUGGCGGCAGGCUUAACACAUGCAAGUCGAGCGAGCGGCGGACGGGUGAGUAAUGUCUGGGAAACUGCCUGAUGGAGGGGGAUAACUACUGGAAACGGUAGCUAAUACCGCAUACCAUCAGAUGUGCCCCGAUGGGCUUAGCUAGUAGGUGGGGUAAUGGCUCACCUAGGCGACGAUCCCUAGCUGGUCUGAGAGGAUGACCAGCGACACUGGAACGGAGACACGGUCCAGACUCCUACGGGAGGCAGCAGUGGGGAAGAGUGGACAAUGGGCGCGAGCCUGAUGCAGCCAUGCCGCGUGUGUGAAGAAGGCCUUCGGGUUGUAAAGCUCUUUCAGCGAGGAUGCGUUACUCGCAGAAGAAGCACCGGCUAACUCCGUGCCAGCAGCCGCGGUAAUUC